rnacentral:tRNA from 1 species
UUAGUUGAAGCUAAAGUAAGAAGCAUCUCACUGUUAAUGGGAUUUAGAAGAUUAUCUUCCAAUUAAG